rnacentral:rRNA from 1 species
UACGGGGGGGGCAAGCGUUGUUCGGAAUUAUUGGGCGUAAAGAGCUCGUAGGCGGUCUGUCGCGUCGGAUGUGAAAUCCCCAGGCUUAACCUGGGAACUGCAUCCGAUACUGGAUGGCUUGAAUUCGGGAGAGGGAUGCAGAAUUCCAGGUGUAGCGGUGAAAUGCGUAGAUAUCUGGAGGAAUACCGGUGGCGAAGGCGGCAUCCUGGACCGAGAUUGACGCUGAUGAGCGAAAGCUAGGGGAGCAAACGGG